AUCUCAAAACCAAGUUCUACGACAAUAGUCAUUGGUUGUUGCAUCAGCUGAUGAGGAUAAAUCAAAACAGAUAGAGAGAUUGGAAAGCAAGAUCGCCACCUUGGAGUCAGAGAUCGAGUUGCUCCACAACAAUUCUGCACUAGCUAUUCAGGCCGUGGUUACUCCUGAAAUGAAUCAGACAACAAUAAUUGAGGAAUUUGACAAGGGACACCAGCUUGAAGAAGUUAAAACGGUCAAUGAGCAAGUGGUUGUUCCUCCUGUAAAGAAUCUAAGCAAACAAAAAUCCCAACAAAUCCAAGAAGACUAAAAGAGGAGAAUUACUAUCUGUGUUGUUUUUUCUACCAAAUUGGGAGAACUAUGUUAGCAGUUUCAUGAUGAAGUUGCUUGAGGAAGAAAAUGGCCAUCGGUGUCCCUAAAAAGCGGAAUGACAAAUGGAUGGCUAAUCAGCUUUUGAAGCUACAUCUGGAGUAAAAAGCUUCGAAGGAUGCUCAUCUUCAGUUUAUGCGCUACUAUUUGUUGACUGAAAUGGACUUGCAAAAGCGCACUUAAUACUUGUUAGUUUUGGAUCCAUUUGUUGCAUUGGUCGAUGUCUUCGGCGGAACAAUCUAGGGAUAUUUCCUUCUGAUUCAUUAGUGUUCAACAUUAUAAGAAGUGGUUUAUUAGUUUUGUUCAGAUUUUUGUAAUUAUUUAUGACAUUGUAACCUUCAUCAAUCAUACAUGCAUGUCAUCGCUUCGUUCAACUA